GAUGAACGCUGGCGGCGCGCCUAACACAUGCAAGUCGAACGGCACCCCUCCUCGGAGGGAAGCGAGUGGCGAACGGCUGAGUAACACGUGGAGAACCUGCCCCCUCCCCCGGGAUAGCCGCCCGAAAGGACGGGUAAUACCGGAUACCCCGGGGUGCCGCAUGGCACCCCGGCUAAAGCCCCGACGGGAGGGGAUGGCUCCGCGGCCCAUCAGGUAGACGGCGGGGUGACGGCCCACCGUGCCGACAACGGGUAGCCGGGUUGAGAGACCGACCGGCCAGGUUGGGACUGAGACACGGCCCAGACUCCUACGGGAGGCAGCAGUGGGGAAUCUUGCGCAAUGGGGGGAACCCUGACGCAGCGACGCCGCGUGCGGGACGGAGGCCUUCGGGUCGUAAACCGCUUUCAGCAGGGAAGAGUCAAGACUGUACCUGCAGAAGAAGCCCCGGCUAACUACGUG
rnacentral:rRNA from 1 species